rnacentral:rRNA from 1 species
AACGUAGGACGCAAGCGUUAUCCGGAAUUACUGGGCGUAAAGGGCUCGUAGGCGGCCAACUAAGUCAGACGUGAAAUCCCUCGGCUUAACCGGGGAACUGCGUCUGAUACUGGAUGGCUUGAGUUUGGGAGAGGGAUGCGGAAUUCCAGGUGUAGCGGUGAAAUGCGUAGAUAUCUGGAGGAACACCGGUGGCGAAGGCGGCAUCCUGGACCAACACUGACGCUGAGGAGCGAAAGCCAGGGGAGCAAACGGG